CAACUUUUCGUUGACGCCAAAAUGCGUUUGUCAACUGAAGCCAGUAGAACUGUUUACGCGAAAACGACGGUUGACCAAAAAGUUGAACUGAAGGUUGACGCCAAAAUGAGCCCCAGAGCCCCGGGAAAACUUUAGUACCGCUGCGAUUUUGAAAGACGGAUGGUGUUUUGCAUAUGAAUCACAUACGUACCUUUCACUAUUCUUGGUCUCGAAAAUUGCAGCCGUACCCGAAUUUUCCAGCCAUUCGGAGAGGGGCAAAUAGAAGCAAGUGGUACUUCCCUGACGACAUUCUGUGGGAGUGGCAUUUUGAAAUCUGAAGCGUCGACGCACUACUGACCCGUUUUGCAUUGGCGCAUCUAGUCCCGCGGCUGUUUCUAUUUCUAUCCUCGCCUCCAAUGUGUUUACAACUUUGAUCCGAACCCGCGUCGGCGCAGUAGCAAUCGCUUUAAUGGAACAACGCAUUUUAAUAUGAGUUGCUUAAUCAUGGACUCGUAAAGGAUUUCGUUAACUAAUGACAUCGACUACACAGUUAAAAAUGGCUUGCCCACUUACCUACACUUAUCAAGUGUACCGACAUUAAGUGUAGGUUAUGUGGGCAUCGACCGCACUUUUAACAAGUGGGCUAGCCCACAAAAAAAACAUUUUUCGUGUACCCUUUUAUACGUGUGCAGCACACUUGUCAAAACCCUUUGUUAUUCCUCGCGCCUCCUCCCUGUGCAACCCUCCCCAAUAUUACCCACAGGGGAAUCAUCUCCCUACCCUAGUUUUUCUUACUUAACCCCUUCAAGUCCUGAGGCAUACUGGUGUUUUCGUAAACAUCACCAUCAUCACCACCACCAGGAACUGACCAGAAUGAGUUAAGGAUGAUGCCCCUCAACUUGCUUGUUGGUGCCGUAAUUCCCUAUAGAGCAGUAAAACAUGCUGCGUUGCGCAUUCUCCACAAAUGUUAAAAUCUCAUUUGUGUCCAAAUUGUCUGCAGCCGCUGCAGCCUCUUAUGGAGAAAAUACCUUUUUCGCUUUUAAAAUUGAGUUUUGUUAAAUAAAAUUGUGAUUUCUUCCCUUCUCUUA